AAACUGUACGGUGGCCGCAAAAAGUCAGACGGAAGUGAUAAGCCGACGGACUUGUACUUCCGGGCAGCGCUGUGGUUGGGAGCGUGUUGAGACUUGGACUGCGCUAUGUCGGGCAGAGACGGCGGUAAGAAGAAACCUCUGAAGCAACCGAAGAAACAGACAAAGGACAUGGACGAGCUGGUGGUGGCAUCAAGAAGUCUGGCAAAAAGUAGUUACAUGCUAUGGAAGAAGCAGUCUGCUCCCAUUGGUUGCUUGUCUAUGCAAUGGAUCUGCGGAUUCCUGUAGUCAAGAAAAUUCACUGUCAUUUGAGUACCUUGUGCAUUUUGCUCAGUCAAAAUAAAUUGUUUUGUUAAGA